rnacentral:lncRNA from 1 species
GCGGAUUUCAGACAGAAAAUUUUGAAAGGUGACAUUGAAGGAGUGGAAAGACUCUUAAAAAUGGAUCGAACAAUAGUAAGUUGUUCUGUUUAUUGCCUUCUCAAAUUUGACUGUUUAUUAUUUUAUACAUAAUAUGAAAUGUUUUAUACACAAUAUGAAAAGUAGCCACAUAUAUUUGUCCAUGAUAUUUCAUUUCUUUCUUCACCUCUUUUCUCUAAUCCUCAUCAUCGACAUUUUUAUAAAUAUUUAACCAAACAUUGAAACAUGACAGAAUUGAUGGAAUGUGAGUGAGAAAGAAAUCCAUCACACACUGCAAUGGGGUGUUCUGGCGGGAAGUAUUCAGUCCAAGAGAUGAGAGACAGAUGGAACCGAUAAAUGGAUGGUGACUUUUUAAAGAAGUCCUCUUGCCAUACAAAGUUGAAGGUUUUACUGGUGUCAAGGGCUACACCAUUUUUGAUAGAAUUUGUUACACAUAUGAAAACACUGGUGUGUCACAUAGGAAUCAAACCCCACUUUAUAAAACUGUACUGGUGUUCAUUGAAUCUAGAAAGACACCUAAAGGGACAAAGGUGAUUUUUUUAAUGAAGUUUUAUUUACUAUUGAAAUAUUGGAAGUUAGAAUGACAGGAUGUCAGUCAAUAGAUGGGAUAGUGUCUGCAGGAAUAUAGAGCAGGGCUUCUCAUAGUGGUCACUACCACCAAUGUGUGGGGGCCGUGGGAACAUGUUAUAUUAGUUUAUGUAUAUAUGGCACUCCAAGUGAGUUUGGCAGAAUUAAAGGUUAAAUAAGUAAAAAAGCGAAGUGGUGAUGCAUCAAAUAUUUACUUAUUGUGAGGUGGUGUUGUGGUAAGUAGUCACCCACCAGGGUUGCGAGAAAGGUAAAUAAAUACCCCCUUCCCCCGAAAAAUGGCUUCAUUGAAUAGGCCUGUACAUAAGAUCGGGACAGUUACAAUUUGCCCUGUCAUCUGUAGUGGAGGAAUUUAAAGUAGCAAAAUGUAAUAUUGUAAUGAUGUAGAGAGACUCUAAGGACGAGCUUGUCAGACAUGCAGGUAUUACCACAAGGUGUGGGUAACUAGCACCGCUGUCGCUCAGGUUGAACGCAUGCUGGAGCUACGCGUCAUAAUUGGAGCUACAUGUUGGGGUCACCAGGGACUUGGCUCUUUCUAUUUCCAACAACGGAAGAAGGCAGACACCAGGAAGAGGCGGGCUAUGACUCAGAAAGCAUUGUGGUACCAGGAGGAAGAUACAAGGAAAUCAAGAGCUGUGGAGUUGGUAUCUCUGAGUGCAUGAACUAAAUAGGAUCUCCCUAAGAGGAAGCUCUCAUGGACUGACCUAUGGAGGCUGGAACCUUUGUACAUCUCCUUCCUGCAUGGAGCGGUGUAUGACACACUCCCGAUGCCAACAAACCUACACAGAUAAUGUUUGAGGGAAGACCAGCUGUGUAGACUUUGUAGGAAAGGGGUUCUCUGGCACACAUCUUGGCAGGGUACUGAAUAACACUUUCUCAAGGCAGAUACAAAUACUUGCUCACACCCUGGAGCAGUAAAAGUGUAAGAAUCAUCAUCACCAAGGGAAUAUAACUGCCGCAAUUAAGUUCGUGGAAGAGGGAGAGAAAGCAGUAAAGCUAGCAAAAGCAAUACACAUCUUGCUGCAAGGGUCUCAACAAUGGGAUAUGAAGGUAGACUUAGGGAAGAGAUUGCAGUUUCCCCAGGAUAUCCAUACAACCCUGAGGCCUGAUGUGGUCCUGUGGCCUGAAAAGGCUCAGAAAAUUAUCAUAAUUGAAUGAACAGUCACGUGGGGAGCGGGUUGUAACGAGGCCCAUGAACGGAAGUGUGACAGAUAUAAGAGCUUUCUGCAGGCUCCAUUCACUUUGGUGAAUAGAUAAAACACAUCCUUACAGGUGUUAUUAACUCGUAUAUAUAUGUGUGUGUGUGUUUGUGUUUGUGUGUGUAUGUGUAUGCAUGUGUAUCUAUGCAAGUGUGUGUCCCUAACUGCUAAUUGAUAAUCGGUGUCGGUGUAUUAGCAUCCCUGUUACUUUGGCCUGAAGCAAAAGAGAUCUAUAGGUUGGUGCUAAUUAGACAGAAAAGGUACCACUCAUAAAAGACAAAAUCGAGGAGGAGCCCCAGCAUGGCCGUAGUCUCAUGACUGAAACAAGAAGAAGAGAGAAAGAAAAGGAAAGAGAAAAAGAAGAGAAGAAUAGAAAAAUAGAAGAAAGAAAAGGAAAAUUGAGAGAGAAUUAUAGAGAAGACAAAAAGAGAAACGAAACAGAGAAAGAGAGAGUGAAAAAAGGAGAGAAAAGAUUAAGAGAAAGAGAUUGAAAAAGAAAAGGAGAGAGAAAAGAAAGAGAGAGAAAUGAAAUAGUGAGAGAGAGGAAGAAGGAUAAAAAGAAAAUGAGGGAGAAAGUAGGAGAGAAAAGUGAGAGAGUGAGAAAAGAAAGAGAGAGAGAGAAAAAGAAACGAGAGAAAGAAAGAGAGAAAUGAAAGAGUGAGAGAGAGGAAGAAGGAUAAAAAGAAAACGAGAGGGAGAAAGAAGGGUAAAAAAGUGAGAGAGCGAGAAGAGAAGGAGAGAGAGAAAAAGAAACGAGAGGAAGAAAGAGAGAAAUGAAAGAGUGAGAGAGAGGAACAAGGAUAAAAAGAAAACGAGAGGGAGAAAAAAGGAGAAAAAAGCGAGAGAGCGAGAAAAGAAAGAGAGAGAGAAAAAGAAACGAGAGGAAGAAAGAGAGAAAUGAAAGAGUGAGAGAGAGGAAGAAUAAUAAAAAGAAAGCGAGAGGGAGAAGGGUGGAGAAAAAAGUGAGAGAGCGAGAAAAGAAAGAGAGAGAGAAAAAGAAACGAGAGAAAGAAAGAGAGAAAUGAAAGAGUGAGAGAGAGGAACAAGGAUAAAAAGAAAACGAGAGGGAGAAGGAAGGAGAAAAAAGUGAAAGAGCGAGAAAAGAAAGAGAGAGAAAAGAAACGAGAGGAAGAAAGAGAGAAAUGAAAGAGUGAGAGAGAGGAAGAAAGAUAAAAAGAAAACGAGAGGGAGAAGGAAGGAGAAAAAAGUGAAAGAGCGAGAAAAGAAAGAAAGAGAGGAAGAAACGAGAGGAAGAAAGAGAAAUGAAAGAGUGAGAAAGAGGAAGAAAGAUAAGAAGAAAACGAGAGGGAGAAGGGAGGAGAAAAAAGUGAGAGAGCGAGGAAGGAAAGAGAGAGAAAAAGAAACGAGGGGAAGAAAGAGAGAAAUGAAAGAGUGAGAGAGAGGAAGAAAGGAUAAAAAGAAAACGAGAGGGAGAAAGAAGGAGAAAAAAGUGAAAGAGCGAGAAAAGAAAGAAAGAGAAAGAAACGAGAGGAAGAAAGAGAAAUGAAAGAGUGAGAGAGAGGGAGAAAGAUAAAAAGAAAACGAGAGGGAGAAGGAAGGAGUAAAAAGUGAAAGAGCGAGAAAAGAAAGAAAGAGAGGAAGAGAGAGAAAUGAAAGAGUGAGAGAGAGGAAGAAAGAUAAAAAGAAAACGAGAGGGAGAAGGAAGGAGAAAAAAGUGAGAGAGCGAGAAAGGAAAGAGAGAGAAAAAAGAAACGAGAGGAAGAAAGAGAGAAAUGAAAGAGUGAGAGAGAGUAACAAGGAUAAAAAGAAAAAGAGAGGGAGAAGGGAGGAGAAAAAGUGAGAGAGUGAGAAAAGAAAGAGAGAGAGAAAAAGAAACGAGAGGAAGAAAGAGAGAGAUGAAAGAGUGAGAGAGAGGAAGAAGGAUAAAAAGAAAACGAGAGGGAGAAGGAAGGAGAAAAAAGUGAAAGAGCGAGAAAGGAAAGAAAGAGAGGAAGAAACGAGAGGAAGAAAGAGAAAUGAAAGAGUGAGAGAGAGGAAGAAAGAUAAAAAGAAAACGAGAGGGAGAAGGGAGGAGAAAAAAGUGAGAGAGCGAGGAGAGAGAGAAAAAGAAACGAGAGGAAGAAAGAGAGAAAUGAAAGAGUGAGAGAGAGGAACAAGGAUAAAAAGAAAAGAGAGGGAGAAGGAAGGAGAAAAAAGUGAAAGAGCGAGAAAAGAAAGAAAGAGAGGAAGAAACGAGAGGAAGAAAGAGAAAUGAAAGAGUGAGAGAGAGGAAGAAAGAUAAAAAGAAAACGAGAGGGAGAAAGAAGGAGAAAAAAGUGAAAGAGCGAGAAAAGAAAGAAAGAGAGGAAGAGAGAGAAAUGAAAGAGUGAGAGAGAGGAAGAAAGAUAAAAAGAAAACGAGAGGGAGAAGGAAGGAGAAAAAAGUGAGAGAGCGAGAAAGGAAAGAGAGAGAAAAAGAAACGAGAGGAAGAAAGAGAGAAAUGAAAGAGUGAGAGAGAGUAACAAGGAUAAAAAGAAAAAUAGAGGGAGAAGGAAGGAGAAAAAAGUGAAAGAGCGAGAAAAGAAAGAAAGAGAGGAAGAACCGAGAGGAAGAAAGAGAAAUGAAAGAGUGAGAGAGGAAGAAAGAUAAAAAGAAAACGAGAGGGAGAAGGGAGGAAAAAAAGUGAGAGAGCGAGAAAGGAAAGAGAGAAAGAAACGAGAGGAAGAAAGAGAAAUGAAAGAGUGAGAGAGAGGAAGAAAGAUAAAAAGAAAACGAGAGGGAGAAGGGAAGGAGAAAAAAGUGAAAGAGCGAGAAAAGAAAGAAAGAGAGAAAGAAACGAGAGGAAGAAAGAGAAAUGAAAGAGUGAGAGAGAGGAAGAAAGAUAAAAAGUAAACGAGAGGGAGAAGGGAGGAGAAAAAGUGAGAGAGUGAGAAAAGAAAGAGAGAGAGAAAAAGAAACGAGAGGAAGAAAGAGAGAGAUGAAAGAGUGGAGAGAGGAAGAAGCAUAAAAAGAAAACGAGAGGGAGAAAGGAGAAAAAAGUGAAAGAGCGAGAAAGGAAAGAAAGAGAGGAAGAAACGAGAGGAAGAAAGAGAAAUGAAAGAGUGAGAAAGAGGAAGAAAGAUAAGAAGAAAACGAGAGGGAGAAGGGAGGAGAAAAAAGUGAGAGAGCGAGGAAGGAAAGAAAGAGAGAAAAAGAAACGAGAGGAAGAAAGAGAGAAAUGAAAGAGUGGGAGAGAGGAAGAAGCAUAAAAAGAAAACGAGAGGGAGAAAGAAGGAGAAAAAAGUGAAAGAGCGAGAAAAGAAAGAAAGAGAGGAAGAACGAGAGGAAGAAAGAGAAAUGAAAGAGUGAGAAAGAGGAAGAAAGAUAAGAAGAAAACGAGAGGGAGAAGGGAGGAGAAAAAAGUGAGAGAGCGAGAAAGGAAAGAGAGAGAAAAAGAAACGAGAGGAAGAAAGAGAGAAAUGAAAGAGUGAGAGAGAGAGAACAAGGAUAAAAAGAAAAAGAGAGGGAGAAGAACGGAGAAAAAAGUGAAAGAGCGAGAAAAGAAAGAAAGAGAGGAAGAAACGAGAGGAAGAAAGAGAAAUGAAAGAGUGAGAAUGAGGAAGAAAGAUAAGAAGAAAACGAGAGGGAGAAAGAAGGGUAAAAAAGUGAAAGAGCGAGAAAAGAAAGAAAGAGAGAAAGAAACGUGAGGAAGAAAGAGAAAUGAAAGAGUGAGAGAGAGGAAGAAAGAUAAAAAGAAAACGAGAGGGAGAAGGGAGGAGAAAAAAGUGAGAGAGCGAGAAAGGAAAGAGAGAGAAAAAGAAACGAGAGGAAGAAAGAGAGAUGAAAGAGUGAGAGAGAGGAACAAGGAUAAAAAGAAAACGAGAAGGAGAAAGAAGGAGAUAAAAGCGAGAGUGCAAGAAAAUAAAGAGAGAGAAAAAGAAAUGAAAGGAAGUAAGAGAAGAAGAAAGGGAGAGAGAAUGAGGAAAUGAGAGAGAAAGAGAGAACAGACAAAGAAAAUGAGCGAAAGAGAGAAAAAAAAGAUAGAGAGUGAGAGAAAGGAAACAGAGAGAGAAAGAGAAAAAGGAAAAGAUAAGGAAUGAUAGAGAGAAGGAAAACCAGAAAAUAAAAGAGAAAAGAAUCAGAGAGGGAGAGAACGAGAAUAGAAAAAGAGAAAGAGGGAGAGGAAGAGAGAAAGAUGGAAGAUAAGAGAAGAAAAAGGUACUGAGAGAAAAUAAAGAGAGAAUAAGGGAGAGAGACAGAGGAAGAAAGAGGAAAAACAAAGACUGAAAGAGAGAGAAUUGAGAAAGAGAGGGAUAAAAGAGACGAAAAAGGGAUAAAGAGAAUGAGAGAAAAGAAAGGGAGAAGGCAAGAGAGGAGAGAAAGAUAAAAGUAAGUCCCUUAAAGGAGAAAAGGAAAAGAGGGAAAGAAGAGGGAAAGGAAAGGACAAAGAGACAGAAAGAAAGAGAGGGAGAGGGAGGAAGAGAGAAAAGGAAAGUGAGAGAGUGAGAGGAAGAGAAAGAGAAAAAUUGCCAGAGAAAAGUGAUAACAGAGAGAAAGAGGAAGAGAGGAAAGAAAGAGAGAUAAAAGGAAGCUAAUAAGGGGAGAGAAAGAGGAAAAGAAAAGGAGAGAGAUAAAGAAGAGAGAAUAGAAAAAGAGAGAAAAGUAAAGCAGGAGAGAAAGGUAAAAGAGCGGGAGAGAAUGAGAGAAGAGAAAAAGAGAUAGGGAGAAAGAAAGAGGGAAAGGGGUCAAAAGAAAGUGACAGAUAAGAAUAGGAGAGGGAGAGAAAGAGAAAAGAGACAGAGAGGGAAAGAGGGUAAUAUAGGAGUGAAAAGAGAGUGGGAAAGAAAGAGAGAGGAAGACAGAUUGAAAAAGAGAGAGAGGAAGGAAAGAGUGAGAAAAAAGUGUAAGAGACAUAGAGAGAAAGAUAGAAAAGAAAAUGUGAGAGAAGGAAUGAAGAAGAAAGAGAGAGUAAAGGAAAAGAGAAAGGGCAUCAAAGAAAGAGAGACAAGUUAAAGAGAAAGAGAGAAAGAGAGAGAAAAAGGUUGGGUGAAAGAGAGAAAAGGAAAAUUGAAGGAGACAGAAAGAGAAAGAAAGAGAAAAAGUAAUAGAAAGAGAUAAAGAAAGAGAAAUGGAAAAAGACAGAACGAGAAAGAAAAAGAGAGAAAGAGAGAAAAGUAAAAUGGAAAAAGAGAGAAAAGAUGAGAGGGAGAAAAAGAGGAAAAAGAGAGAGCGAGAAAGAAAGAGAGAGAAGAAAAGGAAAGAGACAGCAUGUAAGAAUAGAAAGAGAAAGAAAUGAAAGAGAGAGAGAUACGGAAAGAGAAAGAGAGAACUUGAAAAAUAGAGAAAGAGAAAGAUAAGAGAAAAAAGAAAAAGAGAAAGAGGAAGGAAAUGUGAGAGAGAAAGAGAGGAAAGGAAAAUGGGAGAAAGAGAGAAAAGAAAGAAGAGAGAGAGAGUAAAAGAGAUACGGAGAGAGAAAGAGAAACAAAGAGAGAGAAGGAAAGGGGAAAGAGAGAGAAAGUGAGAAAGAAAGAGAGAGAAAGAAGGAGAGAAAACGAGAAAGAGAGUGAGAGACAAAGAGAGUAAAAGAGACACGGAGAGAGGAGAAAAAAGAGAGAGAAAAAGGGGAAAGAGAGAGAAAGUGAGAAAAGAAAGAGAAGUAUAGGAAUGAAAGAGGAAGAUAGAGAGAGAAAGAGAGUGAGAGACAAAGAGAGAAAAGGGAGAGAGAGUAAAUGAGACACGGAGAGAGGAGAAAGAAAGAAAGAAAGAGAGAGAGAGAAAAAGGGUAAAGAGAGAGAAAGUGAGAAAAGAAAGAGAAGGAUAGAAAUGGAGGAGGGAGAUAAAGAGAGAAAGAAGGAGAGAAAGAGGAAAGAAAACGAGAAAGAGAGUGAGAGACAAAGAGAGAAAAGAGAGAGAGAGAGAGAAAAUGGAAUUUCUCUAUUUCACAUGUCCUCACUUUCUUCAUUACAGAUUAAUAAACCUAUUGAUGGAUCUGGAACAACUCCUUUAAUAUUUGCCUGUGAAAGGGGCGCCGAUAGAAGAAUCAUCGACAUUUUGAUAAAAGCUGGUCCGGAGUUAGGAGCGAAAGACAGAUGGGGUAAUACAGCUUUGCAUUGGGCUGUG